CCCAUCCCUCCCCCUGUCCGUCUCGCUCUUCAGUCACUCGCGCUCUCUUCUGUGCGUCGGAGUCGGACGUGGGUGUGUGCUGAUCGAGCCGCAAUCACUCCUUAAGUUAGAUUUCUUUUUUCCUUCAUAACUCCGCUAGGAGAACCGAGAACUUUGAACUGGAGGCACUUUCGACUUACCUACCGAAAUUCUGGGAAAAAUCCCUAGUCGAGAACUGUAGAACCUAGGCCGGAGGGAGGGACCGUAUCCAUUCCUCCCGGUGUACGAGACUACGAGUGCACAAAUCGGUGGUGCACUAGUGGCAGUCGGGCCGGCACGACACAUGGUUGUAGCGAUAUGAAGACCCGUACUGUACAGAGUAAUUUCGCUUUCAUCCUCUGUCUGAGGCAGCCAUGUCCAAUAUCCGGCUCUCCACUCCACCACCCUCUGACCCUCUCGAGUUGUUUUGUCUGUCAGUCAGUUUCGGGCUUCAGGUAGCGCCAGUACUGCUACUCCCCUACUACCUGCUACUGCUAGAAUCCGGACGCCCUAAUUCGGAGCGAGAACUCGCGCGCGUCCAGCAGCAAAAGGCCGCGCACCUCCAUUUUAAUUUGGUGCCUUCGUGUGGUGCGGCACCACCGAACCGAUGGCACCCCCAUUCGCCGCCGUCCGCGUCGCGCUAUCCACAAACCCUUGGCCUUCACCUGUGGCCUCUUUCUCUUUACACGUGAAUGGCAAAGCACCCGAAAAUGGGUGGCCACGCUACGUGACCUUCGUGCGGCACGGCGAACGGCGAGCAACGAGCGGUGGCUGCCUCUGCCUGGCACGCUACGUGUACCCGUGGCCUCUUUCUCUUUACGCGUGAAUGGGAAACCGGGGCGAGGACUCAUUUAUUACAGCGCCGCGCCGGCCUGUGCGGCGCUUAGCUAAUUACUUGCUCCCGUACGGCCGCCGUAGUGGCAGCACAUUGCACAAGUAGUACUCCAGUAGCCCUCGCAAAUUCUAUGCUGCCGCCGGAAGGGGUACCGCCAAUGAAAUUAAUGAUCUAAGGUAUCCGGAUUCGUACUGCGACAUUGAAUACGUCGUCUCUAGGCAGAAAUUAGAUAAAAAAAUUCCAACAUCGACGCUGAUUAAGGAGGAGAGACACCUGUCAUCUUUCGUGAGAAGAUGGCUUCGGCAGGUAUUAUAAUGCAAAGAGAUGAUAAGACAAGCACUAUCUGUCUGUUUUGUUCCAUGUUCGACACACGAUACAAUGUAAACAUAGAACCCACCACAUGAUUUAUUAUUUAUAUUGUUUGUACGUGUUUUUAUUACACACAUAGACAAUAAUUGUUUGUGGGAUAUAGAUGCCUAAUUCUUUCCAAUAGAUAUGAAAUGGGAAAACCCGCAUAAGAUCUAAUAGAUGAUCAUGUCGAGGAUUAGCAGUAAUGCAAUGAACAAGACCUCAAAGACGAUCGUGUCGAGGAUUAGCAAUAAUGCUAUUGAUGACUGACGUGACGGGGCGUUAGCCGUAAGGAAACAGAGUGUGUGUGUCGGCGGAUCGAUCGAUCUAGGUUCGCGCGCCCUGUGACCACUGACCCACCAGCAUAUUGUGGGUGGCUGCGGAGCAGGAAGGAUGGAUGAGUGGCCAGGCUAGCGACCUGCAGGCUUUCGGCUAUCCUUUCGCAGGUCAUGGAAAUAUCUCCUGAUAAAUUAUAUGCAGCAGCAGCGGCGGCAUCCGCUGCCAAAAGUCUAGACACGAAACAGUGGAUACCUGUAGGUGCAGCGCUGCCCGGGAGAGCAGCCUUACAGGCACCUCAGGUCCAGGUUGGUAUGGUAGGCUCUUGACGCGUUAUGGCUUUCCCAUGGCGCGGCCGUGCUCGUGUCUGUCUCGGCAGGGAAGUCGCGACGCUUUUCUCGGCGUGACGCACGCCCUCAGCCCCUCACCCAACCGCCAGUGGGGGCACCGGCAGCGCAGCAACGCACAAUGCGCCGUGUGAUGGCGUUGGCGCUGAUGCCACCAGCUGGGGCGCCGGCCGCCGGGCACCACAAGUCCACAACGCGGCAGGACUGCACGGGCUCGGGGCUUUUGCAGACCCAGAUCCGGUGGUGGUGGGUCCGCGCGCGCCUGGCUGCCAGCCGGCCACUGCUCACCGGCCAUCAUCUCCGUGCAUGUUCUCAGGGGCGGGUGGCUGCGGCCGCGGGCCCACAAUUCACUUACGCGUCUAGUUUGGGAGUCCAAAUACCGGAGAGGAUCGGAGAUGAUUGAAGGACUAAAAUUCAUCCUUAUUAAAUAAAAGUAAAGAAAUGAGGGGAUUUGAGCCCCUCCAAUCCCCUUCGAUUUUGUGGCUCCCAAACUAACCAUUAAGCUCAUUUCUUGGAAAAAAUGAAAUUCUCUUGAAAAAUGUGGUUCUCAAACUAGUCCUUAGUUUUAUUUAACGUAGUCGAAAGAUCUCAAAUAUUUAUUCUAGCCUUAUUUUAAGCUGCUUUUUGGUCAAUUAAAUGUGACCGAAUCUUUUUACUCUGGCCCUGUUUUAGCCUUAUUUUUAGAGUUUCGCCCCUGAAUGGCGAAUGCACUCCGCCGGAGGAAAAAGGCACUUUUGCCGAACUAAUAAAAAUGCCUGCUGCUCCGCUGUCCCGGGACUUUUGUCUCUGGCCAGCGCAAAGAGCACAUGACCUGCCAGUCACGGUGCAGUCAGUCACGCAUACAUAGCCAAGCCUUCAUCUAUACACAUACAACUGACUCGCUAGUGGAAGGACAAAAGAAUGUGCGCUAUGCUCCAGAAUUAUCUGAGGGGUCAACAAGCUUUUGCCUUCUUUUCUUUCGCAUGUUUAGAUUGGGUUUUAAAAUCUAAGCCGAAUAAGAAUAAUCUCCGCUAUUUCUGGGAUUCUGUGUCCGUGUGUUAGAAUCUAUUACAAUCACGAAGUGUUCGAAUGCAGUUUUAGAAUUUUGGGAUUUAUUUUUAUAUUCAGAUUCUUGGAAUCCCUGUGCAUCCUAACACAUCGAAAGGCUCUCCUGCCUUUGCUGGUUUAGGUUAAUCCUCUGCUGCCGGUGCUUUCGAACGACCUUUCUCGUUGGACAAAAACAGUUUUUUUUGGGUCUUUCGCCGGACCCCAUCUUAGGAAAGUUGAAGUGUAAUGAUACUGGAAUACAAAUGAUUUUUGCUUGCGAUUUGGUUCAUUGAUCUAACAUUAGUGCACACCACCAUGACAGUUUUGAGACACGCAGCAAAUAAACACAAAAUAAAUCCCACACGCAUCAUACACAUGAUGAACAUAAAGAAAAUAUUCUUGAGAAUUCCUACUUCUACGGUGAUCCCUUUAGGUCGUAAACAGAACACUCACGGCUCCUUUUUCACUUGUCUCAACUCCCGUCUACUGCCACAGCCAAGUUAGGGUAAGAUUAGGGCAUGUUUAGAUUGUCUAACAAUAUUUCGAUGGUCUAACAAAAAAAUCAUAGUCUAAUUGAUGGGUAUAAUUUAUUAGUUUUUUUGUUUACUACUCCCUCCGUUUCUUUUUAUUUGUCGCUGGAUAGUGUAAAAUUGUACUAUUCAGCGACAAAUAAAAAGAAACAGAGGGAGUAUAUGUUUAGCCUAUUAUUCAAUAAUGGAUUAAACAUUAGUUCGAUGAUCUAAACGUACCAGACCCUUUUUGCGCCGAGGUAAUGAACAUUAGGAUUGCCGGAAAUGAACCAUGCACGUCCACGCCUGUGUACCAGACCCUUUUUGCGCCGAGGUAAGCUCACCCAGCUGUCUCUUAGGCAUUGAGCGGCGUAUGCUGGAGCUGCUGGCCACUUCUUUAGUUCUUUGCUUGUUUCCGGUGGAAAUGAAAGCGAGAUUACCUCGAGUGGCAAGGGCAUCAUUCAUGUCGAGUUGUAGACCGAUCGACCAAAUAGGAGUAGUUGUCUAUACUACUAGCAUUUGUCCCUCAAUUGAGGUGAGGAUAACCCCAUCCAGAAAAAAAGGUUUCUAUGAUUGUCAAUACUCAAUAUGGACGACACAGCAUAGCUCCAGUGUCACGCUUGCAAUGUGGAUGCCAGACUGGGUGGGGGUCCAUGAGCUGUAAAGCUGCAUGGUGAUCACUGCUCUUAUCUUUUCAUCCACUAGACAGCAGAGAUUGCCACUCGAGUCAAAUUUGCUCCUUUUUUUUACCUGUUUAUUCUUCGGCUGCACUGAAUUCUGCCUUUGUUGGACCAAGGUGAAUCGUCUGUCCACCAUAUCCACACGUUUAGUAAAAGUAGCAGCUGAGGGCAGAUAAAAGUUCUGGUUUGCUGGUAUGGAUGCAGAUGGCCAUUGCUGUGUGGAAUUUCCAUGAACAAUGCAGAUAACUAGAUAGUGUGGAGUCGUAACACUUUCAUCAAAAGGCGAUCAGUAUCAGAUCCAAUCUGAUUGCGAUUGACUGGGUUAGUAGGAUCGGUACUGAUACGAGUUAUGUUUGUUAAAUAGUUCAUUAUGCUUUAAUCCUCAGCAACCAAAGGUUUGUCCUUGAGAAUAUUGGCGUUUCUUAUGUUUGUAAUAGGGCAUUAGCACGAUGGGGUGCAUAGACGAGAUUGGUCAUCUAAGCUCAGCAAUUUAGUGACUUUGUCAAAUUCAUGGUACCAUCAUGCUGGUGUCAGAUCUAUAUCUGUUUCAAACAUAUAUAGCACUGGCCUCUUCAUUCAGAUUUCAAGCUGGCAGACUUAUUGGCAAUGUGGGACAUCUUACUGUUCAGUGCUUACUACUGGUUCUGUUCAUCAGCUGGCUACGUGUGGGGAUGCAUGGAACAUGGAUAGAAUGGUCCACAUCACUUUAGUGCCUGUGUUUUAUGUUUGUUUUAGUUUUAUCCAAGUAACAACCUUUUGUAAAACUGGCAGUUAUUCGCCUCCUCAAUUUUAUGGUACUCCUAUAUAGCAAUGCUCAUGCUGUUUAUAGUUCAUAAAGAAAGAAUGAAACUAGUGACUGUAUUAUUCA